rnacentral:lncRNA from 1 species
GAGAGAGAGAGAGAGAGAGAGAGAGAGAGAGAUCUUAGUGGUCCUGGCUUUGAAACCCAUUCUAAGAAUUUUCUGUCAUGCCAAGAGCCACUGCUGGGUGGCCUAAACUCAAGCCUGCUUUAAGCACAGGGAGAGACAUCUUCCUGAGUUUAGGGAAGUGGUCUCUGAUGGAGGUAGAUACCAGCAGUCUGAAGCUUGCAUAGGAUACCUAGAAGAUGCAGGCCAAGACCUGCCUACUCCCUCUCCAUCAUGACAAUGGUAAGUCCUUGCUUGUUUUGACAUGGAGAUUGGCUUGUAUCCUCUGAGGUUACCACAUGAAUCCUGAGGAACUAGAGGAACCAACCCACGCUGAGUUGAAGCAUGGUGUCUGGAGUAAGGACAGGGAAGAACGGGAAGUUAUUGCUAGCUUCACUAGGUACCCAGGGCUGUGCAUGAGCGGCCACAGAGACAGUUUCCUCUUGCCGGUCAUUUGGCCCACAAGCAUCGAAAGGGAGGCAAUAGCAACGUGGAAAGUUUCCCGGUGGAUUUCAUGCCAAGGGUGUUACUCAGUGCUCACAAAGCUCCAUCUGGCAUUUACUGCUCAACAAAAGGGGAAGAAAAAGGACCUCUGCCACUUUUCAGGUCACAAUGUUGGCAAGGCUUUCAGUAUGUAUCCCUGGCUGACUCAGAACUCAGUAUGUAAAACAGGCUGCCCUUGAACUCACAGAGAUCUGCCUACCUCUGCCUUAAGUCCUGGAAUUAAAGGUGUGCUCCAACACUCUUGACUCUUCUUUGACAGUUUUAGAUUGCAGUGAUUGAACCUAGAACUUCCAUCAUUGUGGUGUCUGUCAAUGUAGCUCUGGCUGGCAUGAAACACAGUGUAGCUGAAGAUGUCCUUGAACUCCUUCUAAUUGUCCCAUAUCAGACUCCAGUGUGCCUUGAUUAAAGGGUCCACGAUAGAGUUACCUCUAGGAGAGAAACUUGCAGAGGCAGAGAAUGAAUCUGGCGUCGUCCUGUUUCUCUCCUGCUUGUAAAACACGUGCCCCUUAGCCACUGGAGGCGGUCGCUCG